AUGGAUGAUGGAACUGGUGGUGUUCAAGAAUCAAGUGACAUGUCGAUUUCAAGCGAUGAUGACACUAAUAAGCAACGGAAUGAAAGCAAUGUGGAACUUGAACAUGACCUUGGUGAAGCUCAACCAGAUGCCUUACUUGGAGACCCUAAAUUGGGGAUGACCUUUGAUACUGAGAAUGAGGUUAGUGCACCAAAAGAUCAAUUGCAGGAAGAGGCGCCUUCUGAUGGAAAGACAACAAGUAAAACUAUACUAAGUCCAAUAGCUGUUAGAUGUGCUGGACGUCCUCCUUCAUUGAGAAAAGAAUCCAAGGUUGAUAAGCUUAUUCGUCAAGCAAAUGAAAAGAAGAAGAAAGCUGAACUAAGGGAGAAGAAAAAGGCUGCACAAAAGGAAGCUGAACAAAAGUAUUUAUUUCAGGCUCGCUCCAUGAAUUUGAAAAAGAAAAUGUCCAAUAAAAAAAGGAAAUCAUCACAGGAUGAUAUUCUAGAACAAGAUGUUGUGGAACAAGAU
rnacentral:rRNA from 1 species